CUUCAGACCCCCCCCGUCGACGAAGAGGAGGAUCCUCAGACCCCCCCGUCUCCCAGCCGAAGAGGAGGAUCCUCAGACCUCCCCCGUCGACGAAGAGGAGGAUCCUCAGACCCCCCCGUCUGAGCUAAUAUGUUGCUCAGCCGAAGAGGAGGAUCCUCAGACCCUUGCUCAGACGAAGAGGAGGAUCCUCAGACCCCCCCGUCUGAGCAAAUAUGUUGCUCAGCCGAAGAGGAGGAUCCUCAGACCCCCCCGUCUCCCAGACGAAGAGGAGGAUCCUCAGACCCCCCCGUCUGAGCAAAUAUGUUGCUCAGCCGAAGAGGAGGAUCCUCAGACCCCCCCGUCUCCCAGCCGAAGAGGAGGAUCCUCAGACCCCCCCUUCUGAGCUAAUAUGUUGCUCAGCCGAAGAGGAGGAUCCUCAGACCCCCUCGUCUCCGCAAGCUAUUGUGCUCAGACGAAGAGGAGGAUCCUCAGACCCUUGCUCAGCCGAAGAGGAGGAUCCUCAGACCCCCUCGUCUGAGCAAAUAUGUUGCUCAGCCGAAGAGGAGGAUCCUCAGACCCCCCCCGUCUGAGCAAAUAUGUUGCUCAGACGAAGAGGAGGAUCCUCAGACCCCCCCGUCUCCCAGCCGAAGAGGAGGAUCCUCAGACCCCCCCGUCUGAGCAAAUAUGUUGCUCAGCCGAAGAGGAGGAUCCUCAGACCCCCCCGUCUCCCAGACGAAGAGGAGGAUCCUCAGACCCCCCGUCUGAGCAAAUAUGUUGCUCAGCCGAAGAGGAGGAUCCUCAGACCCCCCCGUCUGAGCUAAUAUGAUGCUCAGCCGAAGAGGAGGAUCCUCAGACCCCCUCGUCUCCGCAAGCUAUUGUGCUCAGACGAAGAGGAGGAUCCUCAGACCCCCCCGUCUGAGCAAAUAUGUUGCUCAGCCGAAGAGGAGGAUCCUCAGACCCCCCCGUCUGAGCAAAUAUGUUGCUCAGACGAAGAGGAGGAUCCUCAGACCCCCCCGUCUCCGCAAGCUAUUGUGCUCAGACGAAGAGGAGGAUCCUCAGACCCCCCCGUCUGAGCAAAUAUGUUGCUCAGCCGAAGAGGAGGAUCCUCAGACCCCCCCGUCUCCCAGACGAAGAGGAGGAUCCUCAGACCCCCCGUCUGAGCAAAUAUGUUGCUCAGCCGAAGAGGAGGAUCCUCAGACCCCCCCGUCUGAGCUAAUAUGAUGCUCAGCCGAAGAGGAGGAUCCUCAGACCCCCUCGUCUCCGCAAGCUAUUGUGCUCAGACGAAGAGGAGGAUCCUCAGACCCCCCCGUCUGAGCAAAUAUGUUGCUCAGACGAAGAGGAGGAUCCUCAGACCCCCCCGUCUCCCAGCCGAAGAGGAUGCACUCUAGGUGUCGUCUCUCUCAUCUCACAACACAGAAGAGGACUUAAGGGUGGUUAAAUUUCUAAUUAAGAACAAUACUUAUAAGAAUUGGGUAUCAGGUCUCCCAGCCGAAGAGGACGCACUCUAGGUGUCGCCUCUCUCAUCUCACAACACAGAAGAGGACUUAAGGGUGGUUAUCCUUUUGAUUGCUUUAAUUUGUUUUUGGGAGUUUGUUUGGAUCUGUAACAGAUCUGCCACACAUGCUUGGUUAUUGACGGUCUUUGUUAUUUUUUUUUUUAUCGAUUAUCAUGGCCUCAGAACUCCAGGUCGUCUUUUUUCUUCUUUCACAUUUACUGCUCAGACUCGCACCCCAAAGGAGGACUUGUUCUAGAUUUGUAAUUAUCAUGGGGGUUAUUGGCAAGAUACAUAUGGCUAUGUUUAUCCUCUUAAUGAUUUGAUUUUUUAGUUGAUUUUCUUGAGUUCUUCUGUUUGUGCUGAAUGAAAAAAAAAUAAAAAUACAGCCUUCUGGAUGUCAAUUCAGAUAAGUUGUUAGAUCUUUGGAAUUGUGAUCUCCAAUCUCUUUGUUGAUAUUCAGCUUUUGAAUCAGCACAGGCAUAAAAUUCAUGAACUUGACAGAUGAAGUUUUGACUAAUUGAUUCUUUUUUGUUCUCUUGAAUUUAUACAGAUGGUGGAUAAAACAUUUGAUGAUGGCUAAAGAUACCGGGUGGGUGGAAACUCUGUAACAUAGCAUGUCCUUGUCCCAGGAACUUCUGAAUAAUACUGAAACCUCAUGUUGAUGAAACUGCAAAGAAGCUUCUUGAAGAUAAAUUUUCUUUAGGACCAGUGGUUCAGAAACUCUGCGCUUUUGCUUGGUUUGUUACUGGACAAAAUGCUUUCAAUCACCAUUCCCUAUCCAUUGCCUGAUCUAAAAGAUGCAAGUUAAUCAGUGGAUUUUUUUUUCCUUUCAAAUUCAUUUAUCUUUUUAUUGGAAAACGUAGCAAUCUUCUAAUCCUUUAUCUAUUUGUUGUUCUUUUCAAAUUCUCAUCACAAAUCAUGAUCUCUCCUGGUAGAUAGUUGUCUCGCUCAUAGUCCUUAAUAAAUCUUCAAUAUAAUUGUUCUUCUUUCCAGUAAGCCUUUGCCUAAUUAUUCAACUUUUUUAAACAGACACCUUUUAGGAUUUUGGUCUGCCUCUCUCUCAACCUUGAAUUUAUUUAUUUUUUUGGGGCAAGAUUCUCACUGUCUAUUCUUAAAGUUCAAUAACUAUUAAAUUUUAAUAUAGCUAAUUGUUUCUGAUAGAAUGCUACCAAAAAGAAUAGUUACGGGAAGAGGAGAUUAAAACCUUAACGCCCAAAUUUUACAUUUGGGUAGAUGCGAAUGUGAGUUUAGCAUUACUAUGGCAUGGUAGAUGCUUCAUGCAUGCUCUGCAACUGCAUUAAGUUGCAGUGGCAUAUGGGAUAAAACCAGAAUAAGUGGUUUUCAUUCUUUGACACCAGCCAUUGAAUAGUUCUGUUUUUGUUCUAGAGAGGUAUUGGAAAUUAAACUUUGGCUCGUUUCUCCUAAAAAAAUACAGCCCUUUUGGGUGUCUGUUCAGAAAAGUUGUUAGAUAUAUGUGGAUUGUGAUCUCCAAUCUCCUUAAUGUCUUUCAUCUUUUGAAUUGGCACAUGCAUAAAUUUCAUGAAUUUGACGAAGAUAAAAGUUUUGACUAAUGGAGUCUCUUUGUUCUCUUGAAUUUAUUGGGAUGCUGGAGAAGACAAUUGAUGAUGGCUAAAGAUACUAUGAGGGUGGAAACUGUGUGCUAUAGUGUGUCCUUGUGCCAGGAAAUCACCUUUCCCUAUCCAUUGCCAGAUCUAAAGAUGCAAGAAUUUAUUUGAAAAAAAAAAUGUAGCAGGUUAAAAUGAGGUUCUCAUCACAAAUUAUGAUCUCUCCUUUAUCAGGGGAAUGGCAAGACAUGGUUGGUUUCUCCCUGCUACUGGAGUACUGGCCACCAUUAUCCAAUUGAAACCCGAAACUCUCACUCCAUCUAUUGUAAACGAUGCUAUCAUAAUCAUGGGUGUUGUUGCUGUGCUCAUCCAUGUUGUAUGCAGUGCAUUUGAAGAUAUACUUGAAGCUGGCCACUUCAAAUCAAUUGCUGCUGGCACCGGUCGCCUGGCCAGAGCGCUUGCCAUUACUCUACUACUCAUAAUCUGCGUCCCAAAAAUUUGGUGGUUUCUUCUUUCGGCAUGGGUGUUGUUCUUUAUAUGGGUAACAUAUACUUUACGUGAGGAAUUGUCAAAAUUGUGUGAAUCGCUAUACAAUGCAGUUCGCCUUCGCCACGGCCAAGAGCCAAAUGAGUUGCCAGUGUAACCAUACCGAGCCAUUGAAGAGAAUUACGGUUGAUGAAAGACUGUAGUCUAUAUAUAUAUAUAUAUAAUUGCGUGGUGUGAUUGAAAUUACAAGUGCUAUUUUUACUAGUAUGGCCGCAACUUGGUAACGUUAUCUGUAAUAUAUUGUUUGAAUACUUGCUUUAAGAAAAAGAAAAUAAUCCAAAAUGCCUAUUUAAAGUA